rnacentral:misc_RNA from 1 species
UUGAAUUUUAAUGAAGAGUUUGGUUGUAGCUGGCCCAUUCAUUUGGGCAUGUGCACACCUUCCUCUUUCAUCCCACACACACCUGUGAACCUGUGAGACAGAGAUGGGGAAUUUACUUGCUGCUUUUUGGAAUACAAAGGCAAUAGGUUAUUGGACCCCCCCUCUGUCUACUCAAUUAAUAUAAACUCAAUUUAUUUUAAAACGAAUGUAAUGGAUGUAACACAUCUCAUACU